AAAGUUAGUCUAACUAAGACA
rnacentral:tRNA from 3 species